UGCAUCUGUUUGUUAGACCUGAAGCAGUUAACUGUCUGCUUCUAAGUUUUCCAUUACAGAUGCAAGGAAAAAAGUUUCCUUGCGCUUUCUGUCUUGUCUUAUUGUGGCAACCAAGAUUGAAUAUUGGAAUACAGAG